rnacentral:tRNA from 2 species
GCGGGGAUAGCUCAGUUGGGAGAGCGUCAGACUGAAGAAAUAACUUCAUUCGUUCAUUAAUCUGAAGGUCGUGUGUUCGAUCCACACUCACCGCA